AUAGCCCUACCCUUCCUUUGUCCAAGAAUAAUCAGUCUACUAUUACGAUUAUAAAGAUGAAGUCGUUAGCUUUCGUUCUACUUAUUGUCUGCAUAGUUGGAAGUGUGACGUCAAAAUCUCUGGAGUCCAAAUCACUUCUAGAUUCCAUCCUCGGACAUCAUGGAGGCUGUUUCGGACCACUAGUGGACUGCUUUGCUGAUCCAUGCAUGAUGUCGACAUGUUCGAAUACGAAUGCAAUGAAAUGCGUUUCUAACUUCUGUGGCGGGUGUAAUGCUGACUGGUACGACAUAAGCGGGAACAAAGUUAGCUGCUAGGAGUUGAUCGGGUGUAACCACUACUGAUCGUCGAACCAAGUUUACUGGCACAACGAAGAACAUUAACAAAUUUAAAUUGUCACCAUUGCUACUUGGUAUUAAAAAGCAUCUCAAAAAGCAAA